rnacentral:rRNA from 1 species
GGGGGAAUAUUGCACAAUGGGGGAAACCCUGAUGCAGCGACGCCGCGUGAAGGAAGAAGUAUCUCGGUAUGUAAACUUCUAUCAGCAGGGAAGAAUUAGGACGGUACCUGACUAAGAAGCCCCGGCUAACUACGUGCCAGCAGCCGCGGUAAUACGUAGGGGGCAAGCGUUAUCCGGAUUUACUGGGUGUAAAGGGAGUGUAGGCGGCUUUGCAAGUCAGAUGUGAAAGCCCGGGGCUCAACCCCGGGACUGCAUUUGAAACUGUGAAGCUGGAGUGUCGGAGAGGUAAGUGGAAUUCCUAGUGUAGCGGUGAAAUGCGUAGAUAUUAGGAAGAACACCAGUGGCGAAGGCGGCUUUACUG